AUAAACAAUUUAUAUAUACAUCAUACUAAAAUCUACAUUCAGAGAAGAUUAGCAUGGCCCCUGCGCAAGGAUGACAUGCACAAAUCGAGAAAUGGUCCAAAUUUUU